GACGAACGCUGGCGGCGUGCUUAACACAUGCAAGUCGAACGGAAAGGCCCUGCUUUUGUGGGGUGCUCGAGUGGCGAACGGGUGAGUAACACGUGAGUAACCUGCCCUUGACUUUGGGAUAACUUCAGGAAACUGGGGCUGAUACCGGAUAGGAGCUCCUGCUGCAUGGUGGGGGUUGGAAAGUUUCGGCGGUUGGGGAUGGACUCGCGGCUUAUCGGCUUGUUGGUGGGGUAGUGGCUUACCAAGGCUUUGACGGGUAGCCGGCCUGAGAGGGUGACCGGCCACAUUGGGACCGAGAUACGGCCCAGACUCCUACGGGAGGCAGCAGUGGGGAAUAUUGCACAAUGGGCGGAAGCCUGAUGCAGCAACGCCGCGUGCGGGAUGACGGCCUUCGGGUUGUAAACCGCUUUCGCCUGUGACGAAGCGUGAGUGACGGUAAUGGGUAAAGAAGCACCGGCUAACUACGUG
rnacentral:rRNA from 1 species